rnacentral:rRNA from 1 species
UACGAAGGGGGCUAGCGUUGCUCGGAAUCACUGGGCGUAAAGGGUGCGUAGGCGGGUCUUUAAGUCAGGGGUGAAAUCCUGGAGCUCAACUCCAGAACUGCCUUUGAUACUGAGGAUCUUGAGUACGGGAGAGGUGAGUGGAACUGCGAGUGUAGAGGUGAAAUUCGUAGAUAUUCGCAGGAACACCAGUGGCGAAGGCGGCUCACUGGCCCGUAACUGACGCUGAGGCACGAAAGCGUGGGGAGCAAACAGG